UUUGCCAAAAAUGCAUUAAAAAGGUCCUGAUCAAACUUCGAAGUGAGCCCUGCUUGGAACAAAAGACUGGAUUAGGUGACCUCUGUGAUCAGGUUGUGUGUAUCAUAAAUACGUAGCACUGAACUGCUUGGCCUUCUCUAUAGCUUUUAAUGCAAAACACCUAGUAAAAUGAUCAGAGUAAUAGCUAAAUGGUAGAGAAGGAUUCAACAAGUGUUGGAAGACUAGUAGCGGUAAUCUAUGCCAUCCACUUCUGCAUUAUAUAGAGACAGGUAAAACAAUACCUAGUGCUCCACCAGGCUCUCGGCUAGAAGAUCAACUGUCCGGAGUGGGACAAAAAUGCUAUUUCACUUACAAGAAGAGGAAAUGUUUAGUAACACUCUCUCCUUUAUCCUUUUCCCUCAACACCUUUUAACUGAAUCAAGUAUAAACUCUAUAAAUCAAUGGGAUUAAUUUAUAUCUUAAAUCUCUUUAGGACAAGCACUCAGAAGACAGAUAGGGGCCUGAUUCUGCAACUACUUAUAUCGGGUAACCCAAGCAGUUUUGGGCUCAAGAAUAAAAAUCCUCAAACACUGAUAAGAGAGGAUGAGAGGACUUCCUUGAUCUGCAAAGAAGCUAUGUCCAAUAGUGCUUCAAGUCAGAGACAUUUCUAAGACGUGCUUUGACAGCAGACACUUAAAAUGAUACAGAAAUAGAUCAGCUUUAUUUGAGGAAGGCUGAGAACUGCAAAGAAUCUUCUCAAGGACUGUCAGCUGGAGCCAAACGGUACUACAAAAAGAGAGGUGAAAUAUUCUCUAAUUUUAUUUACAUUUAUACUCUUUAUACUUUUUUCUGCUUUUUGCAGGGAAAGGGGUGUAUAGCUCCUAAUUUCUUUCUAUUAAUUGUAUUCUCUAUUGUUCCAUUCAUUCAUUUCUUAACCCUCUCUUUCCUCUGCUUCUUGUGUUUCUCUCCCUCCACACAUUUCCCUUAAGGGGUUUUUGUUCUUUUCUAUCCUUGUCUCUUGUCUGGGUAGCCUUCUCAUUUCCAUUAUUUCUGCUUUGUUUCCUUAAGAUUUCAUCUGUUCUUUUGCCCUUUCUCUUUCCACUUUUGACUCUACAGAAAGCCAGAUGUUCCUUGCUGACUUCUGAAACUACCUCUGCAUAUUUUUUUCUCAGGAAAUGUACUCUUGAAUGAAGCCUUUAACCUAAAGCUUAAGACAAAAUUGAUUGGUUUCUGUCUUACAUAAUAACAAAAGACCAUAAAUAGUGGACUGAACACAGGAACAGUAUUCACCAGGGAAGGGUAGUCAGAACUAACCCAACCUCUUUGACUUCCUCAGAAACACAGAAUUGCAAACUUCCAGGAACAUUACUGAAACAAAAGAGAUAGAGUCUAAAAUCCAUUGCUUCAGUGUUUGCAUUUCAGAGACAAGACUCUUGCUGAAAUCAGUCUCAUCUUUGGGAAGUGCUAAUGCAAAACCUUAUACUGGCUUAAACUGGUAUAUUCUGGCUGGAUAGAACUAAUAUGCUGGUGUUGUAAGAAAUCUCAUUGUUUUAGCAAAAACUUUAAAAGAAGAAAAAAAAUGACCUUUUUGUGCAAUUAACGCAUCACUUUUCCAAGGAAUUUAUUAGGCUGACUUCCAUCCCUUGUAAGAAAACUAGCAAAAGAGCUCUCAAGAUGGAAGAUUAUUUUUCAUUAGCUUUCAUUCCUCUAAUAUUUGAGGCUAUUGAUUACUUUUUUAAUAAAAAAAGAAC
ensembl:lncRNA